UGAAUACGAGACGCUAAGGCGUCGAAGUAGUGUAUGUCAUACUUCCAAGAAAAGCUUGCACUGUCAUAGAUAAAAAACGCCUGUACCAUAACCGACACAGGUGGGUAGGUAGAGUAUACUAAGGGGCGCGAGAUAACUCUCUCUAAGGAACUCGGCAAAAUAACUCCGUAACUUCGGGAGAAGGAGUGCCUUAUUUUUAAGGCUGCAAUAACAAGAUCCAAGCAACUGUUUAUCAAAAACACAGGUCUCCGCUAAGUCGUAAGACGAUGUAUGGGGGCUGACGCCUGCCCAGUGCCAGAAGGUUAAAGAAGUUGGUUAGCUUUUGCGAAGCUGAUAACUGAAGCCCUGGUGAACGGCGGCCGUAACUAUAACGGUCCUAAGGUAGCGAAAUUCCUUGUCGGGUAAGUUCCGACCCGCACGAAAGGCGUAAUGAUUUGGAUACUGUCUCGGAGAGGGGCUCGGUGAAAUAGACUUGUCUGUGAAGAUGCGGACUACCUGCACCAGGACAGAAAGACCCUAUGAAGCUUUACUGUAACUUGAAAUUGAAAUUGGACUUUAUUCGCGCAGCAUAGGUGGGAGGCGUUGAUUAUAAUCUCGUGGGAUUAUUGGAGCCAUCAGUGAGAUACCACUCUUGUAAUGUUAGAUUUCUAACUUUGAAUCAUUAUCUGGUCAAAGAACAGUUUCAGGCGGGCAGUUUGACUGGGGCGGUCGCCUCCUAAACGGUAACGGAGGCGUACAAAGGUUUCCUCUGAACGGUUAGAAAUCGUAUCUAGAGUGUAAAGGCAUAAGGAAGCUUGACUGUGAGACCUACAAGUCGAGCAGGGACGAAAGUCGGUCUUAGUGAUCUGACGGUACUGAGUGGAAAGGCCGUCACUCAACGGAUAAAAGUUACUCUAGGAUAACAGGCUGAUCUCCCCCAAGAGUUCACAUCGACGGGGAGGUUUGGCACCUCGAUGUCGGCUCAUCGCAUCCUGGGGCGGUAGUACGUCCCAAGGGUUGGGCUGUUCGCCCAUGAAAGCGGUACGCGAGCUGGGUUCAGAACGUCGUGAGACAGUUCGGUCCAUAUCCGGUGUAGGCGUUAGAAUAUUGAGAGGAGCCUUCUUUAGUACGAGAGGACCGAGAAGGACAUACCUCUGGUGUACCAGUUAUCGUGCCAACGGUAAACGCUGGGUAGCUAUGUAUGGAGUGGAUAACCGCUGAAAGCAUCUAAGUGGGAAGCCCACCUCAAGAUAAGUAUUCUCA
rnacentral:rRNA from 1 species